UGGAUGCUAUGUGCUCUGGUGUGAUUUCUUGGCAGGUAAUUUGGUGGUGAGGUGUAAUAGUUCUCAUGUAGUUUCUAGACAAUGUCAGCCAACAGACAGUCCUCAUACUAAUAUCUCUCACUCUUGAUAAUCUGUUUGGUUUCAGAUAGCAAUCAUAAUUAUCUGCAAAUAACUGAUGUUUUUUAUAAAGUUUUUAGUUUAGCUGCUGAGUCGAAAACAAAUCUGGAAGAAAAGCUGCUUUGCUUUGAAGCAAAUCUUACCUGUUUCUUUUCUCAUCCAAACAAAAAAGGGGAAAAUUGAAGAAAACAUUUAAUUCAACCUUAAAUGAGCACAAAAAGAUGACUGCUGAUUCCUUACUUCCUGUGCUUAAGAGAACUGGAAGCUGCAUCUCUCAGGAAAAUUGUCUCAAAUACCAGCAUACCUUACGGCGUGCACCUCGUGUUCUAACCGACCAGAGCUCCGUGGACAUCGAGGGAGCUCGCCUUGCUUCUACCAGAACCAGCUGUCCUUCUGUGGUUAUCGUCUUUUCCUAACUCUGAGAGCUGUCUGUUCCCCUCAGCGUCCAGGGCGCGCCUCACCUCGCUUCUCUCAGGCGCUGACCGCGCGGCCAUGCGCCGUGGGCGGCGCCCCCCGCCCCGCAGAGGCAGCCUGGCCCUCUGCCCUCGCACAAAAUGGCGGCUGCCCCCUCCCCCGACCCCCCACGCCUCGGAGUCGUGCCCUCGCACAAAAGGGAGGUCGCUCCCCUGCCUAGUGCCAGCGGUGAGUGAAGGUACUUUUUCCUUCUGCUUUUUUUUAAAAUAAUUUUGAUAUUCAAGUAUGAUAUCAGUCAAAAAUAGUGUAAUUUUUAUGUUUGGGCUCUGUUACUGCAUGAUAAAGUCCUUAGCUGGUUCUGGGCAGAGAAUGUUCUGGAAAACAUGAAGGCUGGGGGAGGGCGCGGGGGGAUUCUGCUUUGCUCUUACGUUUUCUCCCCACCACAAAUGGGAUGGAGGGGGAAGCAUUUAUAGCAGGCAUUUGCAUGUUUAAACUGAAUUUCCAUUUGCUCCUUUAAAGCCUUCUAGAAAGUAUGGCUAGGUAUAUUUUAUUUUAGAAACUGUAUGAUCAUGUACUCCUAGUUGUGACAAAUGAGCUCAGGAUUUAAAAUGGA
rnacentral:lncRNA from 1 species